rnacentral:lncRNA from 1 species
CAGGAAUGUUCCCGGCACUACACUUACAUGGGCCCUGCUCGAACUUCUCUCUCUCUGCCCUAUUUGCUUGCACACAGUCUAUUUCUGCCACAGACACUCUCCAAAGUGUCUCCCAACGCUGCCUCCUCUCCUGUUCCCCGCCCCUGCCGCUCCCUCCAGAAGAGAGGAACAGCCCUAGGAAACCCUCACAGCUGGAAGGGACAAGGGAAGAUGGCAAUGAGUUUAUGCAGCCUACACACACACACACACCACACACAGACACACACACCACACACACACACCACAUACAGACACACCACAUAUACACACACCACACACACACCACACACACACACACACACACACCACACACACACCCCAUAUAUACACACACCACACACGCACAUCAUACACACACCACACACAUACCACAUAUACACACACCACACACACACACACCACACACACACACACACCACAUACAUACCACAUAUACACACACCACACACACACCACACACACACACCAUAUAUACACACACCACACACGCACAUCAUACACACACCACACACAUACCACAUAUACACACACCACACACACCACACACACACACACCACACACACACCUCAUAUACACACACCACACACAUCACACACACCACAUAUACAUACCACAUAUACACACACCAUACACAUCACACACACACCACAUAUACACAUACCACACACACACAUACACACACCACACACACACACCCACACACAUACCACACACCACAUACACCACACACACACACACCAUAUAUACACAACCACACACGCACAUCAUACACACACCACACACAUACCACAUAUACACACACCACACACACAUCACACACACACCACACACACACACACCACACACACACCUCAUAUACACACACCACACACAUCACACACACACCACAUAUACACACCACAUAUACACACACCAUACACAUCACACACACACCACAUAUACACAUACCACACACACAUACACACACCACACACACACACACCACACACAUACCACACACACACAUACACCACACACACCACAUACACCACACACACACACAUGCACCACAAACACAUACACCACACACACACACACACACACACACACACACACACAUACUAUGUUCUGCUUUCCAUGGCGUGAGGUUGGCUGUGGCUGGAUCAGCUCGGUUUUCUGAGGUGGUUAACCAAGAGUCUGCAACACUUCCCCCCUCGAUUUAAAUUCAAGAGGAGCAAACAAGCACUCCCUUUGGAGACAAAGAGUGGAGAGCUGACACUGAUGCAGAACAGCAGGCUUCUGAACCAAGGCGGGUGGUGGGUGUCUCCCUGAGCCUGCCAGAGGACACUUUUCCAUCUUGAGGCUGAGUUUCAAGCUUUUUUUCUCUUCUAAAUUGGUAUUUAUUUAUUUGGCUGUGCCAGGUCUUAGUUGCUGCAGGCAGGCUCUAGUUCUCUGACCAUAAUGGAACCCAGGUCCCCGGCAUUGGGAGCACAGAGUCUUAGCCACUGGACCACCAGGGAAGUUCCUCUAAGCAUCAUUAGCAUGUCUAAUGGAAUUAUUAGCAUUCCUCUAAG